rnacentral:rRNA from 2 species
AGCUCCAAUAGCGUAUACUAAAGUUGUUGCGAUUAAAAAGCUCGUAGUUGGAUCUCAGGUAUGGGCGCACGGUCCGCCUCGCGGCGGUCACUGUGUGAUUGGUUUCCCAUCCUACGCUUCCCGGUUGUUCAGCCCAUGGUGCUCUUGACUGAGCGUUUUGGGUGGCCGGAACGUUUACUUUGAAGAAAUUAGAGUGCUCAAAGCAGGCGCGUCGCCUGAAUAAGGUUGCAUGGAAUAAUGGAAUAGGACCUCGGUUCUAUUUUGCUGGUUUUCGGAACGUGAGGUAAUGAUUAAGAGGGACAGACGGGGGCAUCCGUAUUGCGGUGUUAGAGGUGAAAUUCUUGGAUCAUCGCAAGACGAACAACUGCGAAAGCAUUUGCCAAGCAUGUUUUCA